UCGUAAAAGUAGAAUGUGAUUUAAUGCACUUGUCCUCUGACUUAUUUUCUGCUUAACAUAGUAAUCACUCUGAAUACUGACUACAUCUUCAUUUUAUGUUCUAAAGAAAAUAAUGAGUUCUAGUUUAAAAUAAUACCUGGUUAGCAGCAGUUACAGCCUUGCCCAGUUUGUCACUAAAAUACUUGAUGAUGUACAAAAGAAAAAAAGACAGAAUCACAUAAUACUGGGAAUAAUAGUUAAGGUUGCCUGAACUUGAGAGUUAUUUUUACUAAUCAUAAGGCCAUUGAAUUUUUUGGCCAUAUGUAGUAAUGAAAAUAAGAAGGAAAAUUGUCCUUUUUACAUCACCCUUACUCUCUGCUCACUCUCCUACCUUUCCUACAUCUAAGUCCCAUAUGCCCUGAAUUUAGAAAUGCAAGGUCUGUACCAACCAAAUAACUAAGAAGCUGGCCCUCCUCCAUGAUCCUACCAUAACAGUACUUCCCAUUCUUCAUCCAAAUACUAGAAUCCUCUAAACCAAAACAGAAUAAUAGAGGCUGGCAGUGGCACAUGGAAUGGUGUUAUAAAUGUAUAUCCAUCACCCUUCCUAUUAAAACUAUAAUAGCAUUCACUGAUAAAUGGGGAAUUUGAGGAGAUGCCUCUUAUACAAUUUUGGAGCUAAUAGGCCAUAAUAUGCUUAUUCAAAGAUGCAUAAACAGGAAAAAUGUAAAAAGAUUAUAAAAAACCAUCCCAGUGUCUAUGUGCCAAAUGUGGAAGCACCCAAAUAUAUAAAUCAAUUAAUCACAAACAUAAAGAAACUCAUCAAUAGUAAUACCAUAAUAGUAGGAGACUUCAACAUCCCACCCACAGCAAUGGACAGAUCAUCUAAUCAAAAAAUCAACAAGGAAACAAUGACUUUGAAUGACACAUUGGAUGGACCAGAUGGACUUAACAGAUAUAUUCAGAACAUUUCAUCCUAAAGCAGCAGAGUAUACAUUCUUCUCCAGUGCACUUGGAACAUUCUCCAGAAUAGACCAUGUACUGGGACACAAAUCAGCCCUAAGUAAGUUCAAAAAGAUUGAGAUCAUACCAUGCAUAUUUUCAGACCACAAUGCUAUGAAACUCGAAAUCAACCACAAGAAAAAAUUUGUAAAGGUAGCAAAUACUUGGAGACUGAAGAACAUCCUAUUAAAGAAUGUAUGGGCUAACCAAGCAGUUAAAGAAGAAAUUAAAAAGUGUAUAGAAGUCAAUGAAAAUGAUAGCACCACAACCCAAAACCUCUGGGACGCAGCAAAGGCGGUCAUAAGAGGAAAGUAUAUAGCAAUCCAGGCCUUCGUAAAGAAGGAAGAAAGAUCUCAGAUACACAACUUAACCUUACACCUUAAGGAGCUGGAAAAAGAACAGCAAAUAAAACCCCAAACUAGCAGAAGACAGGAAAAAAUAAAGAUUAGAGCAGAAAUUAAUGCUAUCGAAACCAAAAAAAACAGUAGAACAGAUCAAUGAAACCAGAAGCUGGUUCUUUGAAAGAAUUAACAAAAUUGAUAAACCACUAGCCAGUUUGAUCAAGAAGAAAAAGGAAAGGACCCAAAUAAGUAAAAUCAAGAAUGAAAGAGGAGAAAUCACAACCAAUGCAACAGAAAUAAAAACAAUAAUAAGAAAAUAUUAUAAGCAAUUAUAUGCCAAUAAAAUGGGCAGUCUGGAAAAAUGGACAAAUUCCUAGAAACAUAUACACUACCAAAACUGAAAGAGGAAGAAAUAGAAAAUUUGAACAGACUGAUAACCAGUAAGGAAACUGAAUUAGUAAUAAAAAAUCUGCCAAAAAAACGAGAGUCCAGGGCCAGAUGGCUUUCCAGGGGAAUUCUACCAAACAUUUAAGGAAGAGUUAACACCUAUUCUCUUGAAGCUGUUCCAAAAAAUAGAAAUGGAAGGAAAACUUCUAAACUCUUUCUAUGAGGCCAGCAUUACCUUGAUUCCAAAACCAGACAGAGACCCCACUAAAAAGGAGAACUAUAGACCAAUUUCCCUGAUGAACAUGGAUGCAAAAAUCCUCAACAAGGUAUUAGCCAACCAGAUCCAACAAUACAUUAAAAAAAUUAUUCACCAUGACCAAGUGGGAUUUAUACCUGUGAUGCAGGGCUGGCUCAAUAUCCACAAAACAAUCAGUGUGAUUCAUCACACCAAUAAAAGAAAGGACAAGAACCAUAUGAUCCUCUCAAUAGAUGCAGAGAAAGCAUUUGACAAAAUAGAGCAGCCUUUCUUGAUGAAAACCAUCAAGAAAGUAGGGAUAGAAGGAUCAUACCUCAAGAUGACAAAAAGCCAUAUAUGAGUGAUCCAAUGCUAGUAUCAUCCUCAUUGGGGAAAAACUGAGAGCUUUUCCCCUAAGGUCAGGAACAAGACAGGGAUGUCCACUCUCGCCACUGUUAUUCAACAUAGUAUGGGAAGUCUUAGCCUCUGCAAUCUGACAACACAAAGAAAUAAAAGGCAUCCACAUCGGCCAGGAGGAGGUCAAACUUUCACUCUUCACAGAUGACAUGAUACUCUAUACGGAAUACCCAAAAGAUUCCACCAAAAAACUGCUAGAACUUAUUCAUGAAUUCAGCAAAGUUGCAGGAUAUAAAAUCAAUGCACAGAAAUUGUUUGCAUUCCUAUACACCAACACUGAAGCAACACAAAGAGAAAUCAAGGAAUCGAUCCCAUUUACAGUUGCACAAAAAACCAUAAGAUACCUAGGAAUAAAUCUAACCAGAGAGGUGAAAAAUCUAUACAUUGAAAACUAUAGAAAGCUUAUGAAAGAAAUUGAAGAAGACACAAAGAAAUGGAAAAAGAUUCCAUGCUCCUGGAUAGGAAGAACAAGUAUUGUUAAAAUGUUGAUACUACCCAAAGCAAUCUACAUAUUCAACGCAAUCCCUAUCAAAGUAACACCAGCAUUCUUCACAGAGCUAGAAUAAUCCUAAAAUUUGUAUGGAACCAGAAAAGACCCCGAAUAGCCAAAGCAGUCUUGAAAAAGAAAACCAAAGCAGGAGGCAUCACAAUCCCAGACUUCAAGCUAUACUACAAAUCUGUAAUCAUCAAGACAGUAUGGUACUGGCACAAGAACAGACACUCAGAUCAAUGAAAUAGAAUAGAGAACCCAGAAAUGGACCCACAAACGUAUGGCCAACUAAUCUUUGACAAAGCAGGAAAGAAUAUCCAAUGGAAUAAAGACAGUCUCUUCAGCAAGUGAUGCUGGGAAACUGGACGGCGACAUGCAGAAGAAUGAACAUGGACCACUAUCUUACACCAUACACAAAAAUAAACUCAAAGUGGAUGAAAGACCUCAAUGUAAGACAGGAAGCCAUCAAAAUCCUCGAGGAGAAAGCAGGCAAAAACCUCUUUGAUCUUGGCCGCAGCAAGUUCUUACUCAACACAUCUGCGGAGGCAAGGGAAACAAAAGCAAAAAUGAACUACUGGGACCUCAUCAAAAUAAAAAGCUUCUGCACAGCUAAGGAAACAAUCAGCAAAACUAAAAGGCAACUGACAGAAUGGGAGAAGAUAUUUGCAAAUGACAUAUCAGAUAAAGGGUUAGUAUCCAAAAUCUACAAAGAACUUAUCAAACUCAACACCCAAAACACAAAGAAUCCAGUGAGGAAAUGGGCAAAAGACAUGAAUAAACACUUCUCCAAAGAAGACAUCCAGAUGGCCGACUGACACAUGAGAAAAUGCUCAACAUCACUCAUCAUCAGGGAAAUACAAAUCAAAACCACAAUGAGAUACCACCUCACACCUGUCAGAAUGGCUAACAUUAACAACUCAGGCAAUUAACGAUGUUGGUGAGGAUGCAGAGAAAGAGCAUCUCUUUUGCAUUGUUGGUGGGAAUGCAAGCUGGUACAGGCCACUCUGGAAAACAGUAUGGAGGUUUCUCAAAAAACUAAAACCAGAACUACCCUACGACCCAGCAAUUGCACUAUUAGGCAUUUAUCCAAGGGAUACAGGUGUGCUGUUUCAAAGGGACACAUGCACCCCCAUGUUUAUAGCAGCACUAUCAACAAUAGCCAAAGUAUGGAAAGAGCCCAAAUGUCCAUCGAUGGAUGAAUGGAGAAAGAACAUGUGGUAUAUAUAUAUACAGUGGAGUGUUACUCGGCAAUCAAAAAGAAUGAAAUCUUGCCAUUUGCAACUACGUGGAUGGAACUGGAGGGUAUUAUGCUAAGUGAAAUUAGUCAGAGAAAGACAAAAAUCAUAGGACUUCACUCAUAUGAGGACUUUAAGAGACAAAACAGAU